UGGCGGCGUGCUUAACACAUGCAAGUCGAACGGUGAUGCCCAGCUUGCUGGGCGGAUCAGUGGCGAACGGGUGAGUAACACGUGAGUAACCUGCCCCAGACUCCGGGAUAAGCCUUGGAAACGAGGUCUAAUACUGGAUACGAGAUGCCCCUGCAUGGGGAGUGUCUGGAAAGAUUUAUCGGUCUGGGAUGGACUCGCGGCCUAUCAGCUUGUUGGUGGGGUAAUGGCCUACCAAGGCGACGACGGGUAGCCGGCCUGAGAGGGCGACCGGCCACACUGGGACUGAGACACGGCCCAGACUCCUACGGGAGGCAGCAGUGGGGAAUAUUGCACAAUGGGCGAAAGCCUGAUGCAGCGACGCCGCGUGAGGGAUGAAGGCCUUCGGGUUGUAAACCUCUUUCAGCAGGGAAGAAGCGCAAGUGACGGUACCUGCAGAAGAAGCGCCGGCUAACUACGUGCCAGCAGCCGCGGUAAUACGUAGGGCGCAAGCGUUGUCCGGAAUUAUUGGGCGUAAAGAGCUCGUAGGCGGUUUGUCGCGUCUGGUGUGAAAACUCAAGGCUCAACCUUGAGCUUGCAUCGGGUACGGGCAGACUAGAGUGCGGUAGGGGUGACUGGAAUUCCUGGUGUAGCGGUGGAAUGCGCAGAUAUCAGGAGGAACACCGAUGGCGAAGGCAGGUCACUGGGCCGCAACUGACGCUGAGGAGCGAAAGCAUGGGGAGCGAACAGGAUUAGAUACCCUGGUAGUCCAUGCCGUAAACGUUGGGCACUAGGUGUGGGGCUCAUUCCACGAGUUCCGUGCCCGCAGCAAACGCA
rnacentral:rRNA from 1 species